rnacentral:pre_miRNA from 1 species
AAAGCACCUCCGUUUGGAAUUACUUGUCAUAGAAAUGGAUAUAUGUAGACGUAUUUUAGUUCUAGAUACAUCCGUUUCUUUUCAUUUUGGCGACAAGUAAUUCCAGACGGAGGGAGUAUAAU